rnacentral:rRNA from 1 species
GCCUACGGGGCGCAGCAGUGAGGAAUAUUGGUCAAUGGCCGGAAGGCUGAACCAGCCAAGUCGCGUGAGGGAAUAAGGCCCUAUGGGUCGUAAACCUCUUUUGUCAGGGAGCAAAGGCGUCCACGUGUGGACGAGAGGAGAGUACCUGAAGAAAAAGCAUCGGCUAACUCCGUGCCAGCAGCCGCGGUAAUACGGAGGAUGCGAGCGUUAUCCGGAUUUAUUGGGUUUAAAGGGUGCGUAGGCGGUCCGUUAAGUCAGCGGUAAAAUUGCGGGGCUCAACCCUGUCGAGCCGUUGAAACUGGCAG